rnacentral:rRNA from 1 species
GAUGAACGCUGGCGGCGUGCCUAAUACAUGCAAGUCGAGCGAACAGACGAGGAGCUUGCUCCUCUGACGUUAGCGGCGGACGGGUGAGUAACACGUGGAUAACCUACCUAUAAGACUGGGAUAACUUCGGGAAACCGGAGCUAAUACCGGAUAAUAUAUUGAACCGCAUGGUUCAAUAGUGAAAGACGGUUUUGCUGUCACUUAUAGAUGGAUCCGCGCCGCAUUAGCUAGUUGGUAAGGUAACGGCUUACCAAGGCAACGAUGCGUAGCCGACCUGAGAGGGUGAUCGGCCACACUGGAACUGAGACACGGUCCAGACUCCUACGGGAGGCAGCAGUAGGGAAUCUUCCGCAAUGGGCGAAAGCCUGACGGAGCAACGCCGCGUGAGUGAGGAAGGUCUUCGGAUCGUAAAACUCUGUUAUUAGGGAAGAACAAAUGUGUAAGUAACUAUGCACGUCUUGACGGUACCUAAUCAGAAAGCCACGGCUAACUACGU